GCUUAACACAUGCAAGUCGAGGGGCAGCGGGGAGGAAGCUUGCUUUCUCCGCCGGCGACCGGCGCACGGGUGAGUAACACGUAUGCAACCUGCCCCUGUCAGGGGGACAACCCGCCGAAAGGCGGGCUAAACCCGCGUACAUGCCACCGGGGCAUCCCGGAGGCAGGAAAGGCUUCGGCCGGACAGGGAUGGGCAUGCGGCGCAUUAGGCAGUAGGCGGGGUAACGGCCCACCUAACCGACGAUGCGUAGGGGUUCUGAGAGGAAGGUCCCCCACACUGGUACUGAGACACGGACCAGACUCCUACGGGAGGCAGCAGUGAGGAAUAUUGGUCAAUGGUCGGGAGACUGAACCAGCCAAGCCGCGUGAGGGAUGAAGGUACAGAGUAUCGUAAACCUCUUUUGUCAGGGAACAAAGGCGGGGACGUGUCCCCGGAUGAGUGUACCUGAAGAAAAAGCAUCGGCUAACUCCGUGCCAGCAGCCGCGGUAAUACGGAGGAUGCGAGCGUUAUCCGGAUUUAUUGGGUUUAAAGGGUGCGCAGGCGGUCUGUUAAGUCAGCGGUCAAAGCCCGGGGCUCAACCCCGGCCCGCCGUUGAAACUGGCAGUCUCGAGUUGGAGAGAAGUAUGCGGAAUGCGCGGUGUAGCGGUGAAAUGCAUAGAUAUCGCGCAGAACUCCGAUUGCGAAGGCAGCAUGCCGGCUCCACACUGACGCUGAGGCACGAAAGCGUGGGUAUCGAACAGGAUUAGAUACCCUGGUAGUCCACGCAGUAAACGAUGAAUGCUGCGUGUCCGGGGGGACUGACCCCUGGGUGGCGAAGCGAAAGCGAUAAGCAUUCCCCCUGGGGAGUACGCCGGCAACGGUGAAACUCAAAGGAAUUGACGGGGGCCCGCACAAGCGGAGGAACAUGUGGUUUAAUUCGAUGAUACGCGAGGAACCUUACCCGGGCUCAAACGGGGAGUGACUCAGGCAGAGACGCCUGUUUCCCACGGGACACUCCCCGAGGUGCUGCAUGGUUGUCGUCAGCUCGUGCCGUGAGGUGUCGGCUUAAGUGCCAUAACGAGCGCAACCCCCGCGUGCAGUUGCUAACAGUCAACGCUGAGGACUCUGCACGGACUGCCGGCGCAAGCCGCGAGGAAGGCGGGGAUGACGUCAAAUCAGCACGGCCCUUACGUCCGGGGCGACACACGUGUUACAAUGGGUGGUACAGCGGGAAGCCAGGCGGCGACGCCGAGCGGAACCCGAAAUCCACUCUCAGUUCGGAUCGGAGUCUGCAACCCGACUCCGUGAAGCUGGAUUCGCUAGUAAUCGCGCAUCAGCCAUGGCGCGGUGAAUACGUUCCCGGGUCUUGUACACACCGCCCGUCAAGCCAUGGGAGCCGAGGGCGCUUGAAGU
rnacentral:rRNA from 1 species